UUAAAUACUGAAGUUUAACUGGUUUACAAAAUUAAUUGAAUGCUAAUAUUAUAAAUGUUAGUAUUGCAGGUUAACUGCUACUGAUGUCAGUGUUUGCCCUUUGAUCGCAUGUUUUCAGGAAAGCUUUAAUUUGAUAGUGAGUUUCAUCCUGGCAACUUCCUGCUAGAUUUGUGCCUCAGAAAUGUUUAAGAACUGCCUGACAUUCACAUGGUGGAGAUUCCUUGUUUGUAUCUUAUUAAUUUCUUCUUUGAAUAGAUUCCUUUUACCAUAAGAUAUUUCUUCCUCUCCUCCAGUAACACAGAUUUAUAAAGGAACCCCAAACACUGGAUUAGUAUUCUACAGGUGCAGCACCUCCAAAAAAGAGGUGAAAUAUGGUCAUUCUGUAGCACAGAAGAUAAUCUUCCAGUACACAAUUCCAGUGAAAGAUACAACAUACUGGAAAGGCAGUGGGCUUGGUAAAGUCGCCAGCCAGCCAGCUUACAUGAUGUCUCCUGCUGACCAAUCCAUGAAGAAACAGUUAUCCCUGACAGAAGCUGUUUGUUUUAUUUCAAAGCCUCAGUGGUCCCGGCUCCUUCCUGCCCAAGAGCAGCAGCAGUAAACUCCAUUCUUCCUCCUUGCCUGGCCCUUGGAAGAGAUUGCCUGCUGGCCCACGAGAAUGGUUUUCUGUAAUUGGCUUCUAGGGAAUGCUGUAUGGGAGUAU
rnacentral:lncRNA from 1 species